GACGAACGCUGGCGGCGUGCUUAACACAUGCAAGUCGAACGAUGAAGCAAAGAAUCGAAGCUUCGGCAGAAAUUCAUUUCGGAUUAGUGGCAGACGGGUGAGUAACGCGUGAUCAACCUACCUCUUACAAAGGGAUAGCCUCGGGAAACCGGGAUUCAUACCAUAUCACAUUGCGACGAAGCAUUUCGCUGCAAUCAAAGCUACGGCGGUAAGAGAUGGGCUCGCGUCCCAUUAACCGGAUGGUGAGGUAACGGCUCACCAUAGUGACGAUGGGUAACCGGCCUGAGAGGGUGAACGGUCACACUGGAACUGAGACACGGUCCAGACUCCUACGGGAGGCAGCAGUGGGGAAUAUUGCACAAUGGAGGGAACUCUGAUGCAGCGACGCCGGGUGAGUGAUGAAGGAAUUCGUUUCGUAAAACUCUGUUCUAUGGGAAGAAAAGGACUGUACCAUAGGAGAAAGCUCCGGCUAAAUACGUG
rnacentral:rRNA from 1 species